rnacentral:rRNA from 1 species
UGGGGAAUAUUGGACAAUGGGGGAAACCCUGAUCCAGCGACGCCGCGUGUGUGAAGAAGGCCUGCGGGUUGUAAAGCACUUUUAGUGGGGAUGAAAAGCCGAAGGCUAAUACCUUUCGGUCUUGACCUAACCUACAGAAAAAGCACCGGCUAACUCUGUGCCAGCAGCCGCGGUAAUACAGAGGGUGCAAGCGUUAAUCGGAAUUACUGGGCGUAAAGCGUGCGUAGACGGUUAUUUAAGUCAGGUGUGAAAGCCCCGGGCUCAACCUGGGAAUUGCAUUUGAGACUGAAUAGCUAGGGUGCGGAAGAGGGAAGCGGAAUUUCCGGUGUAGCGGUGAAAUGCGUAGAUAUCGGAAGGAACACCAGUGGCGAAAGCGGCUUCCUGGUCCAGCACCGACGUUCAGGCACGAAAGCGUGGGGAGCAAACAG